rnacentral:rRNA from 1 species
UAGCCUUGACAUAUUUUAGAAUCUUUCAGAGAUGAGAGAGUGCCUUCGGGAGCUAAUUUAC